rnacentral:rRNA from 1 species
AGAGUUUGAUCCUGGCUCAGAUUGAACGCUGGCGGCAUGCCUUACACAUGCAAGUCGAACGGCAGCACGAGAGCUUGCUCUUGGUGGCGAGUGGCGAACGGGUGAGUAAUAUAUCGGAACGUACCCUAGAGUGGGGGAUAACGUAGCGAAAGUUACGCUAAUACCGCAUACGAUCUACGGAUGAAAGUGGGGGAUCGCAAGACCUCAUGCUCAUGGAGCGGCCGAUAUCUGAUUAGCUAGUUGGUGGGGUAAGAGCUCACCAAGGCGACGAUCAGUAGCUGGUCUGAGAGGACGACCAGCCACACUGGAACUGAGACACGGUCCAGACUCCUACGGGAGGCAGCAGUGGGGAAUUUUGGACAAUGGGCGCAAGCCUGAUCCAGCAAUGCCGCGUGAGUGAAGAAGGCCUUCGGGUCGUAAAGCUCUUUUGUCAGGGAAGAAACGGUGGACUCUAAUACAGAUCACUAAUGACGGUACCUGAAGAAUAAGCACCGGCUAACUACGUGCCAGCAGCCGCGGUAAUACGUAGGGUGCAAGCGUUAAUCGGAAUUACUGGGCGUAAAGCGUGCGCAGGCGGUUGUGCAAGACAGAUGUGAAAUCCCCGGGCUCAACCUGGGAAUUGCAUUUGUGACUGCACGGCUAGAGUGUGUCAGAGGGGGGUAGAAUUCCACGUGUAGCAGUGAAAUGCGUAGAGAUGUGGAGGAAUACCGAUGGCGAAGGCAGCCCCCUGGGAUAACACUGACGCUCAUGCACGAAAGCGUGGGGAGCAAACAGGAUUAGAUACCCUGGUAGUCCACGCCCUAAACGAUGUCUACUAGUUGUCGGGUCUUAAUUGACUUGGUAACGCAGCUAACGCGUGAAGUAGACCGCCUGGGGAGUACGGUCGCAAGAUUAAAACUCAAAGGAAUUGACGGGGACCCGCACAAGCGGUGGAUGAUGUGGAUUAAUUCGAUGCAACGCGAAAAACCUUACCUACCCUUGACAUGUCUGGAAUCCUUGAGAGAUCAGGGAGUGCUCGAAAGAGAAUCAGAACACAGGUGCUGCAUGGCUGUCGUCAGCUCGUGUCGUGAGAUGUUGGGUUAAGUCCCGCAACGAGCGCAACCCUUGUCAUUAGUUGCUACGAAAGGGCACUCUAAUGAGACUGCCGGUGACAAACCGGAGGAAGGUGAGGAUGACGUCAAGUCCUCAUGGCCCUUAUGGGUAGGGCUUCACACGUCAUACAAUGGUACAUACAGAGGGCCGCCAACCCGCGAGGGGGAGCUAAUCCCAGAAAGUGUAUCGUAGUCCGGAUUGUAGUCUGCAACUCGACUACAUGAAGUUGGAAUCGCUAGUAAUCGCGGAUCAGCAUGUCGCGGUGAAUACGUUCCCGGGUCUUGUACACACCGCCCGUCACACCAUGGGAGCGGGUUUCACCAGAAGUGGGUAGCCUAACCGCAAGGAGGGCGCUCACCACGGUGGGAUUCGUGACUGGGGUGAAGUCGUAACAAGGUA